GUCAAUCACAGUGUUUAUCUCACUGACGCUUGAUGUCGUCUCUUCUUCUGUCUGACCUGACGGGAGCUCAGUCAUCUGAAGAUCCUUCACUUCCUGUUUCUCUGCUGUAUACAGACAUCAGAGUCAGAGGUCAGAGACUCCGCCCCCCCUCAGCCUCCUACCUGAAGUAUCGCCCGGAUUGUCCCUCCAGACCAGGUGUCACAGCGCAGUAAACAGUGGUCUGACAGCCCUGAGUGGGAGUCUUCAUGAGCAGCAGGGAGGGGAGGCUCAGCAGCGCCCCCAGCAGGGGGAGCCAGCCCUGAACGUGACGACCCAGUUCGGUCCAGAUCACACCCGGGUGGAGACAGAACGUGGUCACUCCAGAACCUGGUACAGGACAGGUACAGAGAUCACAGCGAGUCCCAGUACAGCUCCACAUCUCAGCAGCAGACCCCCCCGGCCCUCCUCCCCCGGCUCCGUCUCCGGGUCCGACCCCCCGCUGCCCCCAGGCCACGGGAGCACCAGAAAAC